UUCAUGUACCGGGAUUCAUUCAUUCUGAUUCUCUGCGAUCGCAGAGCACGUGUUGACGGAGGGGUCGCGACAGUCUACCCCUCCACCCUCUAAAGCGAUGAUAUGAUGCGUCAGGUGUAUAUGGUUGCUCGAGAACUUGUGACAGGUGUUUCGGUGGGAAAAGAACUUUAGGGUAUAUAAGAAACGAGACGGAUUAACAUUUUCCAUGAAGAAAUUCGGAGAUCGACAUGAUGGCUCAUGGUAAGAAAACUUGUUGAAAUUAUAAGGUAUUUCUUUUCUCUUAAAAACAUUGUUUAAAUAAACACUUUAUGUAUUCUCAGCUUUAAAAGUUCAAGCUGAAAUUCACCAGGUGCCUGAGUAUCAGGUUACAGCGGAAGAACUAGAGGGUAUUAGCCUCACUCAGACGGAUCCAGAUUUUACACGCGGAAUUAAUCCUGAUGAGUUUGCGAGAGGAUCGGGAAGCGACAGUCUUCUGAUUUGGAUUUGAUUCUAACUGGGGCUUCGCCAGCGAUCUCACGAGAUCGCCGCGUUCCCUCCUCUCCUCCGAGAAGCGGAAAUGGCGUAAUAGAAAUAUCAACAACUCUGAGGCCGGUGAGGCCGCAAGUCGCGAGCGUGACGCCCAUCUUAAAAGCCUGUGACGCGCCUCAGCAAGCGAAGAGACGGAGAUUAGUCAGUAAGACACCGUCGCUAGUGAAGCGGUUAUUUACAGAUUCAGUCGAAUCACCCACAUGGUCACCCACAUGUUCAACCAGGGAAGGGGGUCGUGGAUCUCAAAGCGUGAUUAACGAGACCGAAGUGGAGACAAAAUCGGAUAACGGCCCAGAACCGAAUCAGGAAGCAGAGCGAUGUCGGAGAGAGCGCCAGAGUCCCACUAGACCUCUGUUUAAGCGCAGGUUUCCUCAACGACGGAAUAACGCCAACGUCUCUAACCAGGAAGCCAGACCUGAACGGGUCCGUCGGCUGAGAAUAGCGCCACCUCUCCGCCAGCACCGUGACAGCGGAAUCUUGCGGCUCGCAACCUGAUUCGUGACUACAGCGCCACGUUUUCUAACGCGUGUGAAAAAGGUUUUGUGUGAAAGGUUGGAAUGCAUGUCCGUGUCGAGCUAUAUUUUGAUGUUGUGAAUUCAUGUUUUUGAAUGUAUGUUAGCAUCAGGGAAAUAUUUCUUACGUUGUGAAUGCUGGGUUAUAGAUAGGGGAAAAUUAUAUAAUAAAAGUGUGCAAGAAAAAUAAAAAAAUCAUUUAACCCUGA